GAAAUAUAAUUUAAGAACUUCUAAUUCUUUUUAAAAUGUAUUAAUCAUUAAUAUUUCU
rnacentral:tRNA from 1 species